GACGUAGGGCGCGAGCGUUUGUCCGGAAUUAUUGGGCGUAAAGAGCUCGUAGGCGGUUCGUCGCGUCGGCUGUGAAAACCCGGAGCUCAACUCCGGGCCUGCAGUCGAUACGGGCGGACUUGAGUGUUGCAGGGGAGACUGGAAUUCCUGGUGUAGCGGUGAAAUGCGCAGAUAUCAGGAGGAACACCGGUGGCGAAGGCGGGUCUCUGGGCAACUACUGACGCUGAGGAGCGAAAGCGUGGGGGAGCGAACAGG
rnacentral:rRNA from 1 species